rnacentral:lncRNA from 1 species
CCCCAUUGUCCCUGCAUCACAAAUGUUGCCUGCCAUAGCCCCCAGCUGGUGACACGGCAACCCGCAUCACAAAGGGGACACCACAAAUUUGGGGCAGAGCGAGGCGGGGUGCCACUUUGCCCGUGAGCUGACUGGAGAGAGGAGCUUGACUGCUUGGCUCUCUCUGCACGUCACAGGCAUGGCUGAUUUCUGGGGAAUGGGCUUCUUCCCCAGCCUGGAGGAUUACAGUAUCUUCUACCGUAUCCUCUGGAAUAUGCUGAUCAUAGCAUUAUUCGACUUCGUUAUGGAUUUGUGGGAUCGGAGGAGAGAGAGACAGAGGAUGUGCCAACACAAAGGCAACCAGGAAAAUUCUAGAGUUUGGGACUUCCGCACGUCUUCACAGCACUCGAGGAUGCAGUAAGUAAAACUGUCCCCUCUUGGAGCACGGCAGCCCUCUCCAGUCACCUCCCAC